rnacentral:rRNA from 1 species
AACGAACGCUGGCGGCAGGCCUAACACAUGCAAGUCGAGCGCGCAGCAAUGCGAGCGGCAGACGGGUGAGUAACGCGUGGGAACCUUCCUAUUGGUGCGGAAUAGCUCAGGGAAACUUGGGGUAAUACCGCAUAAGCCCGAAAGGGGAAAGAUUUAUCGCCGAUAGAUGGGCCCGCGUUGGAUUAGCUAGUUGGUGAGGUAACGGCUCACAAAGGCGACGAUCCAUAGCUGGUUUGAGAGAAUGACCAGCCACACUGGGACUGAGACACGGCCCAGACUCCUACGGGAGGCAGCAGUGGGGAAUCUUGGACAAUGGGCGCAAGCCUGAUCCAGCCAUGCCGCGUGAGUGAUGAAGGCCUUCGGGUUGUAAAGCUCUUUUGCCGGGGACGAUAAUGACGGUACCCGGAGAAUAAGUCCCGGCUAACUUCGUGCCAGCCGCCGCCGUAA